CUUUUGUUUCUUCUCUUAUCUAAAGGGUCAGAUAAUUUUUUUUUUAAAGUCAGAUUGUUAAGCGUGUGGAGAAAACAUGAUCCACUUUAAUGAUCCUGAAACUGAAACUCGAAGCAUUUAGUGCAUUUGAUUUUUACUCAACCCCAGUGCAGCCAAUCAAUGCCAUCAACGAAUACGUGAACGCAUGCAUGCAUUUCUUGGAAUGAUUUGCUAAUAGGUUUGCUUCGUUAUGAGCGGGUUGUUGGAAGAUGCAAAUGCUGUGGUGGAAAUGCACUACGCAUUAGUCGAGUCUCGAAAGCUAUUUGAAAGAGAUGGAGGCUUUAAGUAUGGAAAGCACGAAUUCCUAUUCCUAUUCAACAGUUAUGUGAAAGGAAACUUCAUCUCUGGCUAAACAAGACCUUGAGCAGACACCUGUUUGGAAUAUGCAGCUGAUUUGAAGAAUCGUUCUUCGUUACUGCAAGGUUCCCUUCGAAGGUUAACUGCAACCAUUCGAAAUCUGAAUCUCUGGAGAUGCCUUUCCCGAUUUUUAACGAAGAGGAGUUGAUUAUUCUAGUGCAUCCACUGCUCAUCAGCAUUUGAUCGGUACAUUUUGUCUUAUACUUGUAAUGUCUGAAAUAUUUUCUAUGUUUAUGGGAGUAGUUUGCCAACCACCGUGAUAUACGGCAUUAAACCUUCUAAACGGAAUAUAUUUAGAUUACCCACUUAGUUAAUAUGUACGAUAAAUCAUGAUUACAUUCCGGAGUUAGGAUAUAAAAAUUUGAAAUCGACAAUGAUCUCAAACAUUGUCCUUAAUAAAAAUGUGAAUAUUUGUUAUAGGAUGCAUUUUGAAGUAUCUAGUAAAAACACUUUAAAUUCAUAUGGUGAAUAAAAAUUUCAAGCUGCUGAAAUCUGGAAGGCAAGAAUGCUUUAAGUCAUUGUUGUAGCCAUAAAUUUCGCUCCAAGUCAAAUUCAUUCGUAUAUCUACGGAUUCGGAUCGUUUAAACAGAUCUGAACGUUUUUGUAAUAUUGAAUGUACAGACUCAUAAUCGAUGCCUUAAAAUUGCCAUCGGAAAACGACCGGUUGCAGUAGGUUAAGUUAAAUGAGGGAUUCAAGAGAGCAUUUAUUAAAAUGUUUAUAUUCAGGACUGUACAUGCAUGAAUUCAAAAAGAUCUGUAUAAUUUGUUUAACAAGAACGCCAAGACUAACAUUUCAUUUAAAAUAUUUAAAGUGAGCUGGAGCGUAGAAUUCUUGGCGAAAACAACGGACUUCGCUUUAUUUUUGAGAUUCAUAUAAAUUUAAAUCUGGUGUUUAAUCUAACCAAUAUGGUGAAGCUUCUCCAGUCUCGUCAUUUAAAUGGGCCUUAUCUGUGAUGGAUCAUUUUUAUGGAAUAUUCUUCAUGGACAUAUUCAGAAAGAUUAUCAGUGAUAUGCACUUGGUCUUGUCUUCUAAUAUCAAGUAGGAUCGGUUCCAGUAAGUGGCAUUGAAGAAUUUUUCUCGCUCCAAUGUUAAGGUGCUAAGUUGAGCUUCUUUAUGAUCGGAGACAUGGGCAGAGGAAUAAGGUAGUUGCGAAAUAGUAGAAAUGGGAGAUUAAUUCACUGUAGGCGGUUAUUUUUACAGAAAUGAAUAAAAAUACCGCGUUAUUUCGGUCUUAAAUAAGCAAACUAACUAUAUUUAAUCUAAAUGGUCUAAUAAUUGGUUCGACUAUCGUAUUCGUUUGAAUGAGGAAGUUAAAAGCCUCAAUCUCCGCCUCGUGUGAAAUGACUAGA